ACGAAGGGGGCUAGCGUUGUUCGGAAUUACUGGGCGUAAAGCGUGCGCAGGCGGCCAUCCAAGUCAGUGGUGAAAGCCCAGAGCUCAACUCUGGAACUGCCUUUAAGACUGCAUCGCUUGAAUUGUGGAGAGGUAAGUGGAAUUCCGAGUGUAGAGGUGAAAUUCGUAGAUAUUCGGAAGAACACCAGUGGCGAAGGCGACUUACUGGACACAUAUUGACGCUGAGGUGCGAAAGCGUGGGGAGCAAACAGGA
rnacentral:rRNA from 1 species